GCUGGUCACAACUCACCUGGUUGACGCUACGACAACAAGACACCUUCAGUCUUACCUGUGUACUGUAGGUCAAUACUAAACAGUAGAAUGUUAAACUUUGUGUCGGCAGUGUUGUUAUUGACGCUAGUGGGUGUGGUCAGCCCUCAGUGUAUCACCACCAACGAUACUCAGUCCCCACCACUCCACCCUGACCUGGGCCACAUCCUCCCCUUCAGCUUGGGUUUGUUCAAGGAGCUCUACGUCCCCGGCAGCGCCACGGGCAACUUCUUCUUCUCCCCCUUCAGCAUCUGGAACGCCCUCGUCUUGGCCUACUUCGGGUCGGCUGGCAGAACCCGGGAGCAACUGCAACGGGUUCUCAACCUUAAGAACCCAGCUGAUACCCUGGCCACUUACAAGGCCGUGGACCGUCUGUGAGUACACACCUGUCUUACUUACCCACACCUGUACCUUAGCGACCAACACCUGUACCUUAGUGAACCACACCUGUAUCUUAGUGACCCACACCUGCACCUUACUGACCCAUACCUGUACCUUAAUGACCAACACCUGUACCUUAGUGACCCACACCUGCACCUUAAUGACCAACACCUGUACCUU